CCGAGUUUACAACUCCCAAACCCCUGUGAACAUACCUACUUGUUGCCUCGGCGGAUCAGCCCGCUCCCCGGUAAAACGGGACGGCCCGCCCGAGGACCCCUAAACUCUGUUUUAUAGUGUAACUUCUGAGUAAAACAAACAAAUAAAUCA
rnacentral:misc_RNA from 1 species